rnacentral:rRNA from 1 species
CCUACGGGGUGCUGCAGUGAGGAAUAUUGGUCAAUGGGCGGGAGCCUGAACCAGCCAAGUCGCGUGAGGGAAGAAGGUACCGAGUAUUGUAAACCUCUUUUGCCAGGGGACAAAGGCAGCCACGAGUGGCCGUAAGAGGGUACCUGAAGAAAAAGCAUCGGCUAACUCCGUGCCAGCAGCCGCGGUAAUACGGAGGAUGCGAGCGUUAUCCGGAUUUAUUGGGUUUAAAGGGUGCGCAGGCGGCGUGUAAAGUCAGCGGUAAAAGGUCGGGGCUCAACCCCGGCCGGCCGUUGAAACUGGCGUGCUUGAGUUGGAGAGAAGUAUGCGGAAUGCGUGGUGUAGCGGUGAAAUGCAUAGAUAUCACGAAGAACCCCGAUUGCGAAGGCAGCAUACCGGCUGCAAACUGACGCUGAGGCACGAAAGCGUGGGUAUCGAACAGGAUUAGAUACCCUUGUAGUC